AAAUACCAAAUACAUUUCCACUCCAUAGGUUUAAUUUAGUAUGAACAUUAUUUUUUAUCAAAAUAUGUAUUCAUCCAAAUUUGUACUCAUCACCACAUUCCCUGUUUAUUUUUUUUUUUAACUGAAUUCAGGGCAGUAUUCACCCUGAUAUCAGAU